rnacentral:rRNA from 1 species
GGAAUUGACGGGGAGCACCACAACGGGUGGAGCUUGCGGUUUAAUUGGAUUCAACGCCGGAAAUCUUACCGGGACCGACAGCAAUAUGAAGGCCAGGCUGAAGACUUUGCCGGAUUAGCUGAGAGGUGGUGCAUGGCCGUCGUCAGUUCGUACUGUGAAGCAUCCUGUUAAGUCAGGCAACGAGCGAGACCCACGCCCACAGUUGCCAGCGUACUCUCUGGAGUGACGGGUACACUGUGGGACCGCCGCUGCUAAAGCGGAGGAAGGAAUGGGCAACGGUAGGUCAGUAUGCCCCGAAUAUCCCGGGCUACACGCGAGCUACAAUGGUUGGUACAAUGGGUAUCUACCCGAAAGGGACGGGAAUCUCCUAAAACCAAUCUUAGUUCGGAUUGAGGGCUGCAACUCGCCCUCAUGAAGCUGGAAUCCGUAGUAAUCGCGUUUCAACAGAACGCGGUGAAUACGUCCCUGCUCCUU